rnacentral:lncRNA from 1 species
UGAAAUACUCAUAUUGCUUAAUAAUCAAAACAUAGCAUCGUACGAUCGUUCCUAUUUUUACCAAUUGUUACACUUAUGAAGGUAAUUAACUUUUCGGGUUGUUCACAUAUAGGUAACUAUCUUUUUUUUGUACACAUCUAGGUAACAAACUUUUUGGAACUGUUCACAUAUGACCAUUAUGACCUACUAUAGCAGGUUACAUACAACUACAACAGAUCAUAAUGGUUAUAUGUGAACACUUUCAACAAGUUCGUUACCUAGAUGUGUACAAAAAAAAUAGUUACCCAAAUAUGAACAAAACCAAAAGUAAGAGUAAAUUACAUGAAUGGUCCCUAUGGUUUAGGAGAAUUUGUGUGUUUGGUCCCCAACUUAUUUUUUUAACUCGGAUGGUCUCUACUGUUUAUUUGUGUUGCACACUUAGUCUCUGUCUUACCUAAAAAAGACUAUUGUUACCUUAUUAAUUUAUUUUUUUAGUUAAUUUUCUUAUUUAUGUAUUUGUUUUUAUAUGUUAAAAAAAAUUAAUAGGCCCCACAUAUCUGUAUUUCCUCAUCGUAAACCUAAAACCACAUUUGAGAAAUUUAAUCUGAGUCGCACCGGUCACCAUCCCAUAUCUCAUCAUCUGCAACUUCUAUUUUAUUUAUAUCUUUAGUGAUAUGGAAGUCUUCACCAUCCUUUUUUUGGUCCUUCAACUUUGGUGAACAAACACCAUAACACACUGUCUCUUCACUUUAGUGGGUUGUGGUGCUGGUUCGUUGGAGUUGAAGGACCGAAAAAGAAUAAAUGGUGAAGAAUUCGAUGUCAUUAAAGAUGGAAAAGAAAUAAAUGUUGAGGAUGAUGAGUGAUGAGAUGGUGAGGACAUACAGAUAUGUGAGCUCUAUUAGUUUUUUUAAGCAUAUAAAAAAAUACAUAAAUAAGAAAAUUAAUUAAAAAAUUAAAUUAAUAAGGGCACAAUAGUCUUUUUAGGUAAGACAUGGACCAAACGCAACAAAAAUAAAUAGUAGGGACCAUCCGAAUUAAAAAAAAAUAAGUUAGGGACCAAAAGUACAAAUUCCCCCAUACCACAGGGACCAUUCGUGUAAUUUACUCUUACUUUUGGUUUUGUUCAUAUUUGGGUAACUAUUUUUUUUGUACACAUCUAGGUAACGAACUUGUUGAAAGUGUUCACAUGUAACCAUUAUGACCUACUAUAGCCAGAUGUCACCUGCUACAACAGGUCGUAAUGGUCAUAUGUGAACAGUUCCAAAAAGUUUGUUACCUAGAUGUGUACAAAAAAAAGAUAGUUACCUACAUGUGAACAAACUGAAAAAUUAAUUACCUUAAUUAGUCCUAUUCCCUAGUUCAUACAACACUCAACAAUUGGCAGAAAAGUACAAGGCCUAUGAUGGGACCCACCUUGGUCUAGCUCUCCCUCGGAAGUUGGACGUAGACCAGCACGCGCUGAGCAACAACCCAUCGCCGACAGCAACCCUGAAAAUCGACGGUCAUUUCCAGCUAGUCAACUAUCCCCGACUCCGAUGAAGCAUUCCUAACAGCGCCCGCAGAUAAUACGGCCCCCUGUUUUUCUCGUUUCGCUGCCGGCAAUCAAAGCUUCAGCCUUGCCGGUCACUAUCACGAGGCAACCCUAAUAAGAAAUCCCCCAUCGGGAACCAAAGCCUCAACAUCACCGCCGGUCUUUGGCUGCUGCUACCCCUUCCACCAAGCCAUCUGCCUUCUCAAAUGGGUCUCUCCAAAUCAAAUCAAUAGGCAAACUGCCUUAUCCGUCCAGUUCCAACUGGUUGACAUCAACCUCCGAGCAAAUGCCGCCAACGAGAGAAGCUUGACCAAUGUCGGCCACAUUUAGCACCUCCGAGAUGACAGCAAUUCCAGAGAUAAUGUCCUGCUAUGUCGCCUACAAGAUCCAGUGUCGCCAUCAUCGAUAUCAUCUAAGCUUUGAUGAAACACCCAACUCCAGUCGCCGACCACCUUAAAGUGACAAUCCAGCAACGUAGCGCCACCGAUGAGCCCAAACACCGAUGUUUCUAUAGAAUCCAGCAGGGAACCACCAAAAUCACCACAACCGGUAUCAAAGAACACAUGUGGCGACUUCCAGCAACCCUAAGUCGCCAACAAUCUCGCUAUGGUCAACGAUCUUCGGCGUUUUCUAUCUUUCAACGUCGUGAAAUCGUAGGAUACCCUGGAAGCCUAAACCUAAAACUGAUGGGAAACGAAUGGAUUGGUACACGAUCGGGGGGAAGAAAUGACUUGGGUUAAUCAAUUGUUAAGUGGGUUCACAAAUUGUA